rnacentral:rRNA from 1 species
CCUACGGUAGGCAGCAGUGGGGAAUAUUGCACAAUGGGGGAAACCCUGAUGCAGCGACGCCGCGUGAGUGAAGAAGUAUCUCGGUACGUAAAGCUCUAUCAGCAGGGAAGAAAAUGACGGUACCUGACUAAGAAGCCCCGGCUAACUACGUGCCAGCAGCCGCGGUAAUACGGAGGGGGCAAGCGGUAUCCGGAUUUACUGGGUGGAAAGGGCGCGUAGACGGCAGCACAAGUCUGGAGUGAAAUCCCGGGGAUUAACCCCGGAACUGCUUUGGAAACUGUGCGGAUGGAGUGCAGGAGGGGUAAGCGGAAUUCCUGGUGUAGCGGUGAAAUGCGUAGAUAGUAGGAGGAACACCGGUGGCGAAGGCGGCUUACUGGACUGUAACUGACGUUGAGGCUCGAAAGCGUGGGGAGCAAACAGGAUUAGAUACCCCAGUAGUC